rnacentral:rRNA from 1 species
GAGUUUGAUCAUGGCUCAGGACGAACGCUGGCGGCGUGCUUAACACAUGCAAGUCGAACGAAGAGCGAUGGAAGCUUGCUUCUAUCAAUCUUAGUGGCGAACGGGUGAGUAACGCGUAAUCAACCUGCCCUUCAGAGGGGGACAACAGUUGGAAACGACUGCUAAUACCGCAUACGAUCUGACCUCGGCAUCGAGGAUAGAUGAAAGGUGGCCUCUACAUGUAAGCUAUCACUGAAGGAGGGGAUUGCGUCUGAUUAGCUAGUUGGAGGGGUAACGGCCCACCAAGGCGAUGAUCAGUAGCCGGUCUGAGAGGAUGAACGGCCACAUUGGGACUGAGACACGGCCCAGACUCCUACGGGAGGCAGCAGUGGGGAAUCUUCCGCAAUGGACGAAAGUCUGACGGAGCAACGCCGCGUGAGUGAUGACGGCCUUCGGGUUGUAAAGCUCUGUUAAUCGGGACGAAAGGCCUUCUUGCGAAUAGUGAGAAGGAUUGACGGUACCGGAAUAGAAAGCCACGGCUAACUACGUGCCAGCAGCCGCGGUAAUACGUAGGUGGCAAGCGUUGUCCGGAAUUAUUGGGCGUAGAGCGCGCGCAGGCGGAUAGGUCAGUCUGUCUUAAAAGUUCGGGGCUUAACCCCGUGAUGGGAUGGAAACUGCCAAUCUAGAGUAUCGGAGAGGAAAGUGGAAUUCCUAGUGUAGCGGUGAAAUGCGUAGAUAUUAGGAAGAACACCAGUGGCGAAGGCGACUUUCUGGACGAAAACUGACGCUGAGGCGCGAAAGCCAGGGGAGCGAACGCGACUAGAUACCCCGGUAGUCCUGGCCGUAACGAUGGGUACUAGGUGUAGGAGGUAUCGACCCCUUGUGCGCCGGAGCCAACGCAAUAAGUACCCCGCGCGCGGAGUACGACCGCAAGGUUGAAACUCAAAGGAAUCGACGGGGGCCCGCACAAGCGGUGGAGUCUGUGGUUUAAUUCGACGCAACGCGAAGAACCUUACCAGGUCUUGACACUGACGGACAGCACUAGCGAUAGUUCCUCUUCUUCGGAAGCCAGAAAACAGGUGGUGCACGGUUGUCGUCAGCUCCUGUCGUGAGAUGUUGGGUUAAGUCCCGCAACGAGCGCAACCCCUAUCUUAUGUUGCCAGCACUUUGGGUGGGAACUCAUGAGAGACUGCCGCAGACAAUGCGGAGGAAGGCGGGGAUGACGUCAAAUCAUCAUGCCCCUUAUGACCCGGGCUACACACGUACUACAAUGGGAGUUAAUAGACGGAAGCAAGAUCGCGAGAUGGAGCAAACCCGAGAAACACUCUCUCAGUUCGGAUCGUAGGCUGCAACUCGCCUACGUGAAGUCGGAAUCGCUAGUAAUCGCAGGUCAGCAUACUGCGGUGAAUACGUUCCCGGGCCUUGUACACACCGCCCGUC